AUGUAUUACCGCAGAAAAAGAAAGCCUUCCGACCCCAUCAAUAAUCUUUCACUUACUGCAAAUACGAUUUGCAGUUGGGGAUGUGGCAGUGUUACCGAGGAGUGGGAUAGCUUGUAUGCUCAAAAGGUCCAAUUGUUCACUUUCCUUUCUACUCUGCCCGAGCCCGCUCUGAGUUAUGGGCCGAGUGUUGAAACUAAUAUGGACAAUUCUAUCGAGCAAAGAGAACAGAAAAAGAGUGACAUAAUAGUUCUUGAUUGGGAUGAUGAUGAUGAAAGCACAGGAGCACACAAACAACUGACGCCUGAGAAAAAUAAACAGCUGAUACCAUCAGAACAGGCUGGUGCUCUCAUGAGAGUGGAAGAUGAGCCUAUGGGGGAAGAUGAGCCUAUGGAGGAAGAACAUAUAAAAGAGAAGGAAAGUGAUGGUCUUGAAGAUUUUUGGAAUGAGCACUCAGUGACACUUGAAAGCUCUAAGCUCGACACACUUGAAGAGGCAGCCAAUGAGAAAGAGGUGAACAACGUCUGCAAUCAUGAAAUACAAAUUCAUGAAGAUCUGGGCCAUGUAUGCCGUAUGAUUGUGAGAAGGCCUGACACAAUCAUUGAUUAUCAGUGGAGAAAGAGCCUGACGCUAGACCUCGUGGGUUGUUAUUUGGUUAUUCCUGUAUUUCGAGCAUGA
rnacentral:rRNA from 1 species